rnacentral:rRNA from 1 species
UACGGAGGGGGCUAGCGUUGUUCGGAAUUACUGGGCGUAAAGCGCACGUAGGCGGCUUUGUAAGUUAGAGGUGAAAGCCCAGGGCUUAACCCUGGAAUUGCCUUUAAGACUGCAUCGCUAGAAUCGUGGAGAGGUGAGUGGAAUUCCGAGUGUAGAGGUGAAAUUCGUAGAUAUUCGCAAGAACACCAGUGGCGAAGGCGGCUCACUGGCUCGGUACUGACGCUGAGGUGCGAAAGCGUGGGGAGCAAACAGG